ensembl:rRNA 5S_rRNA 5S ribosomal RNA
UCAAAGAGCAAUAUCACACUGCAGCCCAAGACCGGGUACUUACUGAAGCUAAGCAGGGCUGAGUCUGGUUAGUACCUGGAUGGGAGACCACUAGGAAACAUCAGGUUGCUGUUGGAA